UGUACCUUGUGGACCUUACAACAAAGCAGGUAUGGGCAGGAUUUGGCUAGCCGGCCAUAAUUUGCAGACCCCGGCUCUAGAUCUAACACUUUUGUGUGAUUGUCUCCCAUGCAUAGCAAAGAGCUGCAGCCAUGUGGGCUGCAAAGAGGAAUUUAACCUGAAGUACAUCAGCAUCAGUUUCCCAGCAUUUACAGCUAUGAAAAUGAUCUCGUAGAAGGCAUUCUAGUCCUCCUGGCCUCCUUUUCUCCUCUCCCCUUUCCCUAGUCUCAUUUAUUUUUACUGUUUAGAUUAUAGACACAUCCCUGUGAAUGAAGCUGUAUUUCAGUGAGUACUUCAUUGUUGAAAAUUUCAUUACCAGAGAUAGAAAUAAUACAGGAGGUCCUGGUGUAAAAACUUGGGUUCUCUUUGUUCCAGGAGAGCUGGAUGGGGGCACCUGGGCUCCAGCAUCUUCUGAGGGGUUGCUUCAUGGAUAUCAGGCCCUGUCUCCACUCAUAGGUGACCAGAGCAGGGCUGUGAGUUUGCAACUCUUGCCAUGAGGGUUUCAGAAAGCUGGAAGAUGAUUCUAACAGGGGUUGAGAGGUACCCGGGGGUCAACUGUGCUCUGGAAGCCGAUGAUUGUCCUUCAAACAUAUUGUCAGAAGAUCACUAUUGCCUAACGCUACGUCACAACGCUGUGUCAUUCACCUCACUUCAUCUCAUCACCUAGGCAUUUUAUCAUCUCACGUCAUUAGAAGACGAAGAAGGGUGAGUAGUACAGUGCUCCUUUCACGAUACAAAAAUGUGCUUUCAUGUCAUUCGUUUCAGUUAGAAGGUCCAGGGAUGGAUUUGGAAGACCAAAAUGAUAAGAUAUUUUG